GGGUUGUGAGGUUAAGUGACUAAGCGUACACGGUGGAUGCCUAGGCAGUCAGAGGCGAUGAAGGGCGUGCUAAUCUGCGAAAAGCGUCGGUAAGGUGAUAUGAACCGUUACAACCGGCGAUACCCGAAUGGGGAAACCCAGUGUGUUUCGACACACUAUCAUGUCAUGAAUACAUAGUGGCAUGAGGCGAACCGGGGGAACUGAAACAUCUAAGUACCCCGAGGAAAAGAAAUCAACCGAGAUUCCCCCAGUAGCGGCGAGCGAACGGGGAGGAGCCCAGAACCUGAAUCGGCUUGUGUGUUAGUGGAAGCGUCUGGAAAGUCGCGCAGUAAAGGGUGAUAGCCCCGUACACCAAAAUGCACAGGUCGUGAGUUCGAUGAGUAGGGCGGGACACGUGACAUCCUGUCUGAAUAUGGGGGGACCAUCCUCCAAGGCUAAAUACUCCUGACUGACCGAUAGUGAACCAGUACCGUGAGGGAAAGGCGAAAAGAACCCCGGCGAGGGGAGUGAAAUAGAACCUGAAACCGUGUACGUACAAGCAGUGGGAGCACCUUCGUGGUGUGACUGCGUACCUUUUGUAUAAUGGGUCAGCGACUUAUAUUUUGUAGCAAGGUUAACCGUAUAGGGGAGCCGUAGGGAAACCGAGUCUUAACUGGGCGAAUAGUUGCAAGGUAUAGACCCGAAACCCGGUGAUCUAGCCAUGGGCAGGUUGAAGGUUGGGUAACACUAACUGGAGGACCGAACCGACUAAUGUUGAAAAAUUAGCGGAUGACUUGUGGCUGGGGGUGAAAGGCCAAUCAAACCGGGAGAUAGCUGGUUCUCCCCGAAAGCUAUUUAGGUAGCGCCUCGUGAACUCAUCUUCGGGGGUAGAGCACUGUUUCGGCUAGGGGGCCAUCCCGGCUUACCAAACCGAUGCAAACUCCGAAUACCGAAGAAUGUUAUCACGGGAGACACACGGCGGGUGCUAACGUCCGUCGUGAAGAGGGAAACAACCCAGACCGCCAGCUAAGGUCCCAAAGUCAUGGUUAAGUGGGAAACGAUGUGGGAAGGCAUAGACAGCCAGGAUGUUGGCUUAGAAGCAGCCAUCAUUUAAAGAAAGCGUAAUAGCUCACUGGUCGAGUCGGCCUGCGCGGAAGAUGUAACGGGGCUAAACCAUGCACCGAAGCUGCGGCAGCGACGCUUAGGCGUUGUUGGGUAGGGGAGCGUUCUGUAAGCCGUUGAAGGUGGCCUGUGAGGGUUGCUGGAGGUAUCAGAAGUGCGAAUGCUGACAUAAGUAACGAUAAAGCGGGUGAAAAGCCCGCUCGCCGGAAGACCAAGGGUUCCUGUCCAACGUUAAUCGGGGCAGGGUGAGUCGACCCCUAAGGCGAGGCUGAAAAGCGUAGUCGAUGGGAAACAGGUUAAUAUUCCUGUACUUGGUGUUACUGCGAAGGGGGGACGGAGAAGGCUAGGCUAGCCGGGCGACGGUUGUCCCGGUUUAAGCGUGUAGGGGGUGUGACCUGGUAAAUCCGGUUACAUAUCAACCCUGAGGCGUGAUGACGAUGCACUACGGUGCAGAAGUAGUUGAUGCCCUGCUUCCAGGAAAAGCCUCUAAGCAUCAGGUAACAUUGAAUCGUACCCCAAACCGACACAGGUGGUCAGGUAGAGAAUACCAAGGCGCUUGAGAGAACUCGGGUGAAGGAACUAGGCAAAAUGGUGCCGUAACUUCGGGAGAAGGCACGCUGGCAUGUAGGUGAAGUCCUUCGCGGAUGGAGCUGAAGCCAGUCGAAGAUACCAGCUGGCUGCAACUGUUUAAUAAAAACACAGCACUGUGCAAACACGAAAGUGGACGUAUACGGUGUGACGCCUGCCCGGUGCUGGAAGGUUAAUUGAUGGGGUCAGCCGCAAGGCGAAGCUCUUGAUCGAAGCCCCAGUAAACGGCGGCCGUAACUAUAACGGUCCUAAGGUAGCGAAAUUCCUUGUCGGGUAAGUUCCGACCUGCACGAAUGGCGUAAUGAUGGCCAGGCUGUCUCCACCCGAGACUCAGUGAAAUUGAACUCGCUGUGAAGAUGCAGUGUACCCGCGGCAAGACGGAAAGACCCCGUGAACCUUUACUAUAGCUUGACACUGAACAUUGAGCCUUGAUGUGUAGGAUAGGUGGGAGGCUUUGAAGCGUGGACGCCAGUCUGCGUGGAGCCAUCCUUGAAAUACCACCCUUUAAUGUUUGAUGUUCUAACUCGGCCCCAUAAUCUGGGGUGAGGACAGUGUCUGGUGGGUAGUUUGACUGGGGCGGUCUCCUCCCAAAGAGUAACGGAGGAGCACGAAGGUUAGCUAAUCACGGUCGGACAUCGUGAGGUUAGUGCAAAGGCAUAAGCUAGCUUGACUGCGAGAGUGACGGCUCGAGCAGGUACGAAAGUAGGUCUUAGUGAUCCGGUGGUUCUGAAUGGAAGGGCCAUCGCUCAACGGAUAAAAGGUACUCCGGGGAUAACAGGCUGAUACCGCCCAAGAGUUCAUAUCGACGGCGGUGUUUGGCACCUCGAUGUCGGCUCAUCACAUCCUGGGGCUGAAGUAGGUCCCAAGGGUAUGGCUGUUCGCCAUUUAAAGUGGUACGCGAGCUGGGUUUAGAACGUCGUGAGACAGUUCGGUCCCUAUCUGCCGUGGGCGUUGGAAGAUUGAGAGGGGUUGCUCCUAGUACGAGAGGACCGGAGUGAACGCACCACUGGUGUUCGGGUUGUCAUGCCAAUGGCAUUGCCCGGUAGCUAAGUGCGGAAAAGAUAAGCGCUGAAAGCAUCUAAGCGCGAAACUUGCCUCAAGAUGAGUCUUCCCUGGGCCUUUAAGGCCCCUGAAGGAACGUUUAAGACUAAGACGUUGAUAGGCUGGGUGUGUAAGUGCAGCGAUGCAUUGAGCUAACCAGUACUAAUGAUCCGUGAGGCUUAACCUUACAACACCGAAGGUGUUU
rnacentral:rRNA from 1 species